GUAAAGAGUGGUAGAGAAAAAAAGACCCAGGUGGUGAAAUCACUAGCUCUGGACAUUAUCAUGAGUUUUGAGCCAAACAGUAAGUACUAUAGUGUGGGCCCUAAAACUUCAGAGAAGAGGAAUGACAUGGAGCUGAAUGAUUACUGGCUAGUCCUAACUAAGGGAGUGAGGGGCUGAGCUGUGGGAAUGAAAGCUGAGCUAUGGAAAUGAAAACAGUGGCAACUGUGACCUCAUGACAAUUGAAAACAGAGCAGUGAAAUAUGAUCUGUCCUGAGGUAUCCUGUCAGAGUGGCCUGGAACCAUGUCUUCUGCAAGAUCUGCAUCCUACAGUGGCUCAGGAGGUCCAGUACACUGGGUCAUGUCCUCAGUGUAACCUUAACUGGAUUAUUCAUAAGAAAAGGGAGUAGCUGUGUUAUUAUGAAAGUGUAACAAUGAUGGUUGCUCGGCCACCUUCCCUCUGUCUGAGGAGUUCCUUGGUGCAUCGGUCAGCCCUGGAGCCAGCUCUGCCCCAUAGACUGUGGUGCUCUGCUCACACAGGCCACCCAGAACCAACACAACUGCUUCAGUUUGGAUUCCACGCUAGAAUUUCCCCUUGACAAUAUACAAAUGAUCUUGGUGUAAAUGGAUGAAUCCUCUUUGAUGAUUAUUAUGGUUACCCCAGGUGGCUGAAGCAGCAGGUGGAGUCCCAGAGGCAGAACCACAGAGCCAUCGCUAGCGCCCUCCGGAGGAAGAUGAGAAUGCAGACACAAGUUAGGAGGCAGGUGGCUGUCAUCUGUGAGAGUCUAGAUGUCAUGGGAGAGGCAGAGGAAGGACAGGAGGGUGAGGGAGAGGAAUAUGGAGAGGGGGAAGGAGAGGUGUAUGAGGGAUAUGGAGAGGGGGAAGGAGAGGUGUAUGAGGGAUAUGGAGAGGGGGAGACUACAGGGGAGAGUAACACAAGCAGCAGCUCCUAAGAUGGGAACAGGGUUUAUUUUUGUAUUUUACAAAUGAUUAAUGACGUUUUAAAUG